GACGAACGCUGGCGGCGUGCUUAACACAUGCAAGUCGAGCGAACAGACGAGGAGCUUGCUCCUCUGACGUUAGCGGCGGACGGGUGAGUCACAUGUGGAUAAUCUCCCUAUCAGACUGGGAUAAAUACGGGAAACGGGCGCUAAUACCGGAUAAUAUAUUGAACCGUAUGGUUCAUUAGUGAAAGACGGUUUUGCUGGCACUAAUCGAUGCAUCCCCGCCGCAUUAGCUAGUUGGUAAGGUAAAGGCUUACCAAGGCAACGAUGCGUAGCCGACCUGUGAGGGUGGUCGCCCACAUGGGAGCUGAGCCACGGUCCAGACUCCUACGGUAGGCAGCAGUAUGGAAUCUUCCGCAAUGGGCGAGAGCCUGACGGAGCAACGCCGCGGGAGUGAUGAAGGUCUUCGGAUCGGAAAACUCUGUUAGUAGGGAAGAACAAAUGUGUAAUUAACUAUGCACGUCUUGACGGUACCUAGUCAGAAAGCCACGGCUAACUACGUG
rnacentral:rRNA from 1 species